UUAGUGGCGGACGGGUGAGUAACGCGUGGAUAACCUGCCGUAUACAGGGGAGUAACACUUAGAAAUAGGUGCUAAUACCGCAUAAGCGCACGGUUCCGCAUGGAACAGUGUGAAAAACUCCGGUGGUAUACGAUGGAUCCGCGUCUGAUUAGCCAGUUGGCGGGGUAACGGCCCACCAAAGCGACGAUCAGUAGCCGGCCUGAGAGGGUGAACGGCCACAUUGGGACUGAGACACGGCCCAAACUCCUACGGAAGGCAGCAG
rnacentral:rRNA from 1 species